AGUGAGGAAUUUUCCGCAAUGGGCGCAAGCCUGACGGAGCAAUACCGCGUGGAGGAGGAAGGCCCGUGGGUCGUAAACUCCUUUUCUCAGAGAAGAACACAAUGACGGUAUCUGAGGAAUAAGCAUCGGCUAACUCCGUGCCAGCAGCCGCGGUAAUACGGAGGAUGCAAGCGUUAUCCGGACUGAUUGGGUGUAAAGCAUCUGUAGGCGGUUUUGGAAGUCUACGGUUAAAUCCCAGGGCUUAACUUUGGUUCAGCCGUAGAGUACUUCAAAGCUUGAGUAUGGUAGGGGUAGAGGGAACUUCUCGUGGAGCGGUGAAAUGCACAGAGAUGAGAAGGAACACCAGUGGCGAAAGCGCUCUACUGGGCCAUGACUGACGCUGAGAGAUGACAGCUGAGGGAGCGAA
rnacentral:rRNA from 1 species